CUUUGGAUGAAGGAAGCUCUU
rnacentral:miRNA from 1 species